UGGAUGUCUUACGAUUGAAUUUCAUUGUGACACACAAUAUGUUAUGCUUAAUUUUGGACACCUUGUGGAUUUUGCAUUAAUUUGUUGGAUGUUUUGUGCAGUCUGGAUGCUGUAAACCUGCAGAAGAAUGCCAGUUUAGCUAUGUGAAUCCAACGACAUGGACGAAGCCCACAAAUGUGACUAAUCAGAGCAAUCCAAUUGACUCUUGAAUUUGAUAUUGAGUAUUGAGGACCAUUACAGCAAGUGAGGGAUCAUCACCAGGAAACAGCUCUCAUUGGUCAUUCGAAUGACGACACCUCCUCCAUCUCCCACACAGUCCGAGAUUCCUUCUGAUGGGACGUCUAGGAAAACUAGACAAGCCACUCGGCUAAGAAGAUUGACAG